UGAACUGUGAAAAAUACGUUUUAGGACGAUGAGCAUGUAAGCAUGUUUCUGCAUUCAUUUAGAUGUUACCUUACCUGGAUGAUGUAGCCAAAGCAAUAACCAUGGCCUGCAGAAGCCCUCUGAUGUAUGUAAAAGGGUUUUUCCGUGUCAAAAUGAAGUAAAAGAACGGAAGCAAAAUGAGGCCGUGCACAAACAGACCUGCCAGGACGGUCACACCGUACCAGCCCAGCUUCUUCCCAAGUGUGAAGGGAUCGCUCAUAUCCAGAAUUUUCCCGGCCACAAGGAAAAUUAUCCCAAAAGGAAAAUACCUGUAAAAAGCAGAGAUGACAAGCUGCAUUAAUGAUCUUCAUCACACACUCAUUGAUGCACUGGCAGACGUUCACCAGCGGAGCUCCCCGUUCACCCAUUCUACCCAGUAAGAGACCUAAAUGAGAAAGCUUUUAUUACACUCAUGUUAUUAUUAUUUUACUCAAGAACAUUUAAGUAUAUUUGCAGAUGCUUUACCCAUCGUGGCUGAGAAAAUAACAAUGCCCAGUACAUUCAUCUGCUGGCUGCUCCCGGGACGAAUCUUAUAUUCGAGGUCUGGUGGUGGUGUGACCUCCAACAACACCAUUCGACCUCUUGGAUGUUCCUCGUCGGGCAUCAGGUCAUUCGUUUAAAUCAAGUGUAGUGAAUUACCUGUGUGGAGAGAGCCAGACCCCUCAGCAAAAAGCCCAGGACACAACCGGUGAUGACAGCCAGUAUGGAUAGCGUCAGAAGUCCGUUUCUCUUGAUGUACUCCUUCACGUACUCUCGGACAUUGACCGUUAAUGUGCUCUUCAUGAAGUCAAUCAUACGCUCGAGA